UGUUUUCAGCACGCACUCCUGGCUUUAAAGUUUAUCCUUGCAUUUGCCAUACCUGAUAAACCACGGCAUAUCCAGAUAAAACUAGCCAGAUUGGAAUUUGAGUCUUUGGAGGCACUCAAGCAGCAGCAAAUGAAGCUCGUGACUGAGAACCUGAAAGAGGAACCAAAGGAAAGCGGGAAGGAGAAGGCAACCUGAGUGCCCGGUGUGCCCAGCUGCCUGUUGGCAGAGGCCUGUGUCUGUGCCACACCCACCACGGUGGGGGGGGGGUGGUACCCAGGGCAGCAUCGUGGCUCCUGAAUCUAGACCCAAUGCUUAGCCAAAUGAAGUGGCUCCCAUGUGACAAGCACCCAUCUCAGUUUCGCAGUGGCCCAGCUCAGGAUCCUUGGCAGUUCCUGGCAGUUCCCCCAGCCCCACCCUGUCUGUUCCUUCCCAGUUCCUUCCCAGGCCCCACACACUGCUCCAGCUGCCAACUUUGCUGCAAAGCCACUGCCGCCCUUGAGCCUCUCACCAUGAGUGAGCCACCAGCUCUCCAUGUUCCCCUCACAGCAGUGUCACUCCCAGCCCCACCAUGGCCCAGCGACCUGUGGACAGGUUGGGGAUGGGGUGUGUGCCCACUGUGCUCAUCACAGGAGCCUCAGUUGAGAGCAGGGUACAGUAAGGCAGUGCUUCCCAUGCUGGACCUCUUUCCUGGUUCUCUUUUGCAGUAUGUUAACAGACCCUUUAUCAACAUAAACAAUAGUAACUGAGCUAUUAAAGGCAACCUCUCUGACUCCUGUUGCCCACAUGGGGACUGCAGUGGGCUUCCCUGUUCUGAAACAAGCAUGGGUGAGGUCACUGAAGGUGGAGCGGUGAGAUCAGGAGCCCAGGGUGAGGGGCUUGGCUAGAGGCCAGGCACCAAAGCUCGUUGCUGAAAACUAGGCCAUUUUUGAGAACUGCUGCUGCUGGUGGUGCCUGCCUACAGGGACACUAGGGCUUUCAAAUGCAGGGUGUACCCAUGGUGCCAAGCCAAGAGCCAGCAGCCACUCCUGGUGCCCUUGCCUGGGCUUGGGCUUGCAGAGAAAAGGGUCCUCCUUGCCCAGUGGUGGUGCCCACCUCCCUAGCUGUGUCCAUGGACUGCCUGCAUUCACAAGCACAAGCCCACGUAUACAGCCCUUCCCACCGGUGCUGGCUAUCCUGCUGCAGCCAAGAUGCUGCAGACCCGUGGGCACCUCCACUCGGACAGCAGCAGAUGCCCUGGCCCACCCGGAGAAGGUGAAGAGCGGGGAGGGCCGCCGUGCUUCACCUUCUGGUUGGCAGAGGCCUGUUUGCCUCAACUCAGGAGUCAGGCACCUUGAUCCCUCCCCCACCUCAGAGAUGGGGCAGCCUCCUCAAGCCAGCUCAAGCACCACUUGUCUUUGGAGGUCCCAACUCUCCCUGUCUGCCCCUUCAUGGGUGUUUGUGUUGGUCCUGCGAGCCCAUCCUGUUUUCCACAGUGGACACGGGUCAGUGAGUUUUGCCCUUGCUCUUACAUAGGAUGAGCCACUCCAGGGCCUUGUUAUUCAGUGGUUGUUCAGUGUUUGAUGGACAAUUUUUAGAACAGGCUCAUGUUUUGAAAUGUUAGUGAGUGGCAGCCACCAAUAUAGGCCUGAGUCUUGAGACCCCAGGAUCUUUACUCCGUUUCAGCCUGGGUGCCUGUGUUUGCUGGGAAAGGAGAAAGUUGAAAUGGCGCCCAUGGCACCAGCUCUUGGUGUCGCCCCAUCCCCCAGAGCCCGGCUUUGGGAGUCAGUCGCAUGAAUGCAGUUGGUUGUGAACCAGUGGGUCCUGGAUGCCCGGAACAUCAAGCCACCGAAUCACUUGCGCCUGCAGGGCCGCGGAGCCAGACAGCCUCUUCCCAGCACUGUGACUGUGCCCUUCCCAGAAGCUGCCCAUCUGCCCUUCCUCAGCGUCUGAUUGGACACAACUACACCGCUGAACUAAGCCUCAGCCAGUCACUGCACAGGGGAGAACGGGACCCUCCAAUGAGGCCAGACCUCAGGCACAAGGCCACGGGAGAGGGUGGAUGUGGAACCAAUCGGGUUGUGUCAAGAGGAAUAUUGGCAGGAGGGGGAGGUUGUGGCGGUUUGCUAGGCUCUAGCUGGCUGGAGGUGUGGCGAGUUCCUCUCUGUAUUCCCCGGGCUGUCAUGGAUGCCAUCUAGCACGCUGCAGGUGCUCAGGACUCAGUGGCAUAGUUGGAAGUAGGGGUAGAGGAACAGCGUGUCUGCUGCUCCACAUUCUGUAGCUCCCUCGUAUCUAAGUUGGACUGAGGAAGACAUCUAGGCCGAUGCCGUCACACCCUGGCCUCACACAACCAUUCCCUGCGGUCACGGUCUCCGCCUGGAAUCCUGGCAGGUCCCCCCUCCCUGCAGCUCACUUCAUCGCCCAGCCCUUCUGGCCACUGGCUCGCCCACUGUUCUCUUGUCGCUGGCCUCACCUCAGCCUCAGAUCCAACCCCACCACACCCCCGAGAGCCUCUUGAGGUCCCCCUCUCCCCGGCAGUGCUGCCUUAGGGCUCCUAGUGACCCCGCCCAAGAGAACUUACCCACUCUGACCACCCAGUUCCCCUGACACCCCUGAGGACUCCAGAGGGUGAAACCCCCUACCCCCACCCCCACCCAACGAUUCCAGCCCGCCUUCCUCCAUGACUUCCAAGAGCUAGGAGGCACCUGCUUGCGUGAACAGACGUGGACACCAGAGGUACCAGCCCCGCGCCUGGCCAAGAAAAGUGCCCAGAGGCAGAGCAGCCAAGAGUCAGGAAGCUGAGACUGCAGCGGCCCCUGAGGGACGGACGGGCAGAUCCCAGAAGUCUGAGAAACCUCUUCCUUGCUGAGCAGCUGUAGGGGGCAGAAGGGCCAUGGAUUAAUAGCCACUUGAAGUCUGACGUGUCCUGUGUUUGGCCUCUUCAAGAACUAGCAAGGAGGUUAUUGCAGCCAGAGCUGAAUGAGCAAGUUGAGAGAAGCAGAUGUGGUAACUGGGGCAGAGGACAGACGAGGGCCUUGUGGGCCACCACACAGGAUUAGACUUUUAAAUCUGAGAUGGGAAGCCAUGGAAGGAUUCGGAGCAGGGGAGCGACCCACUAUUUAGACUGCUGUUUCUGGCCAUGAUGGAAUUAGAUUGACUCUCUUGCUUUAAACAACUAAGAAACCAAACAAAAUAUAUGGAGCAAUAGUUUCCAGACAUUGAGCAACGCCCCUGAGAGAAGGGAGGCAAAUGAGGUGAGCCUUGUGAGUUGAAUGCCCCAGCUGACUGCCCAAAGGCAGUUGCCAGAACACAGAGAGGGAGAGCCCAAAUAGUCUGGUUGAGUUGAGCAAGUAGUUUGAAGUUCAAGAUCAAUGUGCAGGGCAGAGAGGAGGGAGUUGCACAGAUAGUGAGCAAGCUCCAAAAGAAAAUCUGUGGUCUUUGGUUGAGUACUGAUCAGUACUUAUGAGAAAACUACCCGAAGCUGGAGAAAGAACCACUGGAAAGCAGCAAGCUGAACAAUGCUCAGAACUUACCCAAGGCUGCGAAUAGUUCAUGUUCCUACCAGCCGGAAGAGAAAAAUCUCAAGAGUCCCUAGACAGGUACUGCCUCAGUAGUGGGCCAAAUUAGCCCUAUACUGAAGACUGCUCAGGAUCUACCCUAACAGUUUAAAAGCGAGACAUGAAUGAUCCAAUUAUUUUAAAUAACUGCAUUCCAAAAUGAAAUCCAACACUUCAUAUACAAAUACAAAAAAUUCCAGCAUUCAACAAUGUAAAAUUCAGUGUCCAGCUGUGCAAUAAAAAUAAAUCAAUUUUUAUACCCAA